rnacentral:rRNA from 1 species
AGUGAACGCUGGCGGUAGGCCUAACACAUGCAAGUCGAACGGCAGCACAGUAAGAGCUUGCUCUUACGGGUGGCGAGUGGCGGACGGGUGAGGAAUACAUCGGAAUCUACUUUUUCGUGGGGGAUAACGUAGGGAAACUUACGCUAAUACCGCAUACGACCUACGGGUGAAAGCAGGGGAUCUUCGGACCUUGCGCGAUUGAAUGAGCCGCUGUCGGAUUAGCUAGUUGGCGGGGUAAAGGCCCACCAAGGCGACGAUCCGUAGCUGGUCUGAGAGGAUGAUCAGCCACACUGGAACUGGGACACGGUCCAGACUCCUACGGGAGGCAGCAGUGGGGAAUAUUGGACAAUGGGCGCAAGCCUGAUCCAGCCAUACCGCGUGGGUGAAGAAGGCCUUCGGGUUGUAAAGCCCUUUUGUUGGGAAAGAAAAGCAGCAGGUUAAUACCCCGCUGUUCUGACGGUACCCAAAGAAUAAGCACCGGCUAACUUCGUG